rnacentral:rRNA from 1 species
UACAGAGGUCUCAAGCGUUGUUCGGAUUCAUUGGGCGUAAAGGGUGCGUAGGUGGCGCCGUAAGUCAGGUGUGAAAUCCCGGGGCUCAACCCCGAAACUGCACUUGAUACUGCGGUGCUCGAGUACUGGAGAGGAGAUUGGAAUUUACGGUGUAGCAGUGAAAUGCGUAGAUAUCGUAAGGAAGACCAGUGGCGAAGGCGAAUCUCUGGACAGUUACUGACACUGAGGCACGAAGGCCAGGGGAGCAAACGGG